rnacentral:lncRNA from 1 species
GUUUGAGGUCAUCUCGUUGCCUAGAAUGGAAGUUGGAACACAUUAUGCCAAAUAACUCUAUAGUGACGGACGGAAUGUACGAAUGAAGAGGGCAGAGUACCACAGAAAGCUACAUAAUGAUGCAGUGCAGAAUGGGAAAUGCCAGAUGACAAUAGUAAAGAAGGAAUCCUUCUCCUGUACUGAAUCCUGUCUGCAGUCUCAUGACUUGACCCCUGGAAUGGAGACAUAUCUCUCGAUUGUGGUUUCCUGAGAAGGAAUGCCUUUGGCUGUCCUGGCUCCCUCAGCUCUGCCUACAUAUUAUCUUUAUCAGAGGAGUAAAAUCCAGGUAGCCAUGAUGUAUUUCUUGAAGACCAGAAGAGAAAUAAGACUGAAAAUAUGAAGGUGUUUUCCUAACUUAAUUAGAUUUAUAGAUUAUUCCUCUAGCAUCUGAGCUGCUUCUUAUAAUCAUUAAAAGACACGGAA